rnacentral:rRNA from 1 species
AUUGAACGCUGGCGGCAGGCCUAACACAUGCAAGUCGAGCGGAUGAAGGGAGCUUGCUCCUGUCUUCAGCGGCGGACGGGUGAGUAAUGCAUAGGAAUCUGCCUGGUCGUGGGGGAUAACGUACGGUAACGGGAGCUAAUACCGCAUACGUUAUGAGGGAGAAAGGGGUGGAUCUUCGGACCUCACGCUAUCAGAUGACACUAGGUCGGAUUAGCUCGUUGGUGGGGUAAAGGCUUACCAAGGCGACGAUCCGUAACUAGGCUGAGAGGAUGAUCAGUCACACUGGAACUGAGACACGGUCCAGACUCCUACGGGAGGCAGCAGUGGGGAAUAUUGGACAAUGGGCGAAAGCCUGACCCAGCAACGCCGCGUGUGUGAAGAAGGUCUUCGGAUUGUAAAGCACUGUAAGUUGGGAGGAAGGGCAGUAAAAGAAUACCUGGCUGUUUUGACGUUACCAACAGAAAAAGCAACGGCUAACUUCGUG